rnacentral:rRNA from 1 species
CGCCAGCAGCCGCGGUAAUACGUAGGGGGCAAGCGUUGUCCGGAAUCAUUGGGCGUAAAGCGCGUGUAGGCGGCUCGAUAAGUCUGCUGUGAAAGUCCAGGGCUCAACCCUGGGAUGCCGGUGGAUACUGUCGAGCUUGAGUCCGGAAGAGGAGUGUGGAAUUCCUGGUGUAGCGGUGAAAUGCGCAGAUAUCAGGAGGAACACCAAUGGCGAAGGCAGCACUCUGGGACGUGACUGACGCUGAGACGCGAAAGCGUGGGGAGCAAACAGGAUUAGAUACCCUGGUAGUCCACGCUGUAAACGAUGGGCACUAGGUGUGGGGGGUGUCGACUCCCUCCGUGCCGAAGCUAACGCAUUAAGUGCCCCGCCUGGGGAGUACGGCCGCAAGGCUAAAACUUAAAGGAAUUGGCGGGGG